rnacentral:rRNA from 1 species
UACGUAGGGGGCAAGCGUUGUCCGGAAUCAUUGGGCGUAAAGCGCGUGUAGGCGGCCCGAUAAGUCCGCUGUGAAAGUCCAGGGCUCAACCCUGGGAUGCCGGUGGAUACUGUCGGGCUCGAGUCCGGAAGAGGCGAGUGGAAUUCCUGGUGUAGCGGUGGAAUGCGCAGAUAUCAGGAGGAACACCAAUAGCGAAGGCAGCUCGCUGGGACGGUACUGACGCUGAGGCGCGAAAGCGUGGGGAGCGAACAGG